CUUAUAAGACUUGGGCAAAAUCCAACUUGAAUUAAUUAGUGAAACAGAAUGAAUCCACCUUUUCACCACUUCAAUCAAAUGCCAGUUAGUAGCAAUUAGUACCCACUGAAAAUGAUAUACAAUCCUGAAAAUUCUAAUCAGAGCUGGCAUUUCACCAUGUUGCCUGGGUUGGUCUCAAACUCCUGGGCUGAAAGUGAUCCUCCCACCUUUGCCUCUCAGUGCUGGGAUUACAGAAAUGAGCCACCGCACCUGGCCCACAGACACCUUCUAAUAUGCUUAUGUGCAUGUCCAUAUUAGUGAAUGGAAGAAUACCUUCUUCUAUCUCUAUGGAAAAAAAUCCUGGGGAGAAAUUCAAGCUAGCUGAAGAAAUUUGCAUAAGUAAUAGGGAACCAAAUGUUAAUCACCAAGACAAUGGGGAAAAUGUCUCCAGGUCAUUUCAGAGAUCCUAGAGGCAGCUUUUCCCAUCACAGGCUUGGAGGACUAAGAGGGAAAAAGUGGUUUCUUGGGUUAACCUUGGGAUGUGGCACCCUGCAUCCCAGUCACUCCAGCUCCAGCCACAGAUACAAGGGCCAAGGUACAGCUCAGCCCAUUGCUUCAAAGGGUGGAAGCCCUAAACGUGGACAGCUUCCAUGUGGUGUUGAGCCUGCGAAUGCACAGAAGACAAGAGUUGAGGUUUGAGUACCUCCACCUAGAUUUCAGAGGAUGUAUGGAAAUAACUAGAUGUCUAGGCAGAAGCAUGCUGCAGGGGCAGAGCCCUCAUGGAGAACCUUUGCUAAGGCAGUGUGGAAGGGAAAUGUGUGGAUUGGAUACCCCACAGAAAGUCCCCACUGGGGCACUGCCUAAUGGAGCUGUGAGAAGAGAUCCAAUAUACUCCAGACCCCAGAAUGGUAGAUCCACCUACAGCUUGCACCAUGCACCUGGAAAAGCCACAGACACUCAACACCAGCCCAUAAAAGCAGCCAGGAGGGGGACUGUACCCUGCAGAGCCACAGGAUGGAGCUGUCCACAACUGUGGGAGCCCACUCCUUGCAUCAGCAUGCCCUGGAUAUGAGACAUGGAGUCAAAGGAGAUUUUGGACCUUUAAAAUUUAAUGACAGCCCAGCAGGGUUUCAGACUUGCAUGGGGCCUGUGGCCCCUUUGUUUUGGCCAGUUUCUUCCAUUUUGAAUGGGAACAUUUACCCAAUGACUCUACCCUCACUGUAUCUUGGAAGUAACUAACACCUCCUUAUUGAUUUUACAGGCUCAUAGGUGGAAGGGACUUGUCUUUUCUCAGGCGAAACUUUGUAUUUGGACUUUUGAGUUAAUGCUGGAUGAGUUAAAACUUUGGGGGCUGUUGGGAAGGCAAUGACUGGUUUUGAAAUGUCAAGACAUGAGAUUUGGGAGGCGCCAGGGGUGGAAUGAUAUGAUUUGGCUCUGUGCCCCCACCCAAAUCUCACUUCAAAUUGUAAUCCCCAUGUGAUGUGGGAGGGACCAGAUGAGAGGUGAUUGGAUCAUGGGGGUGGUUUUCCCCAUGCUGUUCUCAUGAUAGUGGGGAGUUCUCAUGCAAUCUGAUGGUUUAAAAGUGGAAGUUUCCCCUGUGCUCUCUCUCUU
rnacentral:lncRNA from 1 species